AUGUAAUGUAAUGCCUACAUUGUUAGUGCACCAGAUCCCAUUAUAAAUCCACAAUUAAGUGUGCUUGGGAUAGAGUAUUAUUAGGAUGGGUGACCUCUCGGGAAGUCUUGGUGUAUUACAUG
rfam:Picea glauca, whole genome shotgun sequence.